AUUGAACGCUGGCGGCAGGCCUAACACAUGCAAGUCGAGCGGAUGAAGGGAGCUUGCUCCUGGAUUCAGCGGCGGACGGGUGAGUAAUGCCUAGGAAUCUGCCUGGUAGUGGGGGAUAACGUCCGGAAACGGGCGCUAAUACCGCAUACGUCCUGAGGGAGAAAGUGGGGGAUCUUCGGACCUCACGCUAUCAGAUGAGCCUAGGUCGGAUUAGCUAGUUGGUGGGGUAAAGGCCUACCAAGGCGACGAUCCGUAACUGGUCUGAGAGGAUGAUCAGUCACACUGGAACUGAGACACGGUCCAGACUCCUACGGGAGGCAGCAGUGGGGAAUAUUGGACAAUGGGCGAAAGCCUGAUCCAGCCAUGCCGCGUGUGUGAAGAAGGUCUUCGGAUUGUAAAGCACUUUAAGUUGGGAGGAAGGGCAGUAAGCUAAUACCUUGCUGUUUUGACGUUACCAACAGAAUAAGCAUCGGCUAACUUCGUG
rnacentral:rRNA from 1 species